AAUUUAAAAUCUCUUUAUGAAUUUUAAUAUUAAAAAAUACAUAAUGAAUUAUUGAAUAGAGAUGGAACUAAAUCAACUAAUAUAUGAUAACUGAUAAAAGGCUAUCCAACGUAACGAGACGUUGUUGGGAUGCUGCCCGCUAAAAUUUAUUCUUCAGUUUUGAUCAAAAAAAAGUUUCCUUAUUUGGUCUCCUUUUAGUCCUUUGGUAGGGAUACAUGGACUCGGCCACACUCCCAAAUUUCCAAGGGACAAAAAUUAUAUGGACAUUAUUUUCAAAUUAUUAGUUUGGGGACGAUGCGAAUGGGCACCGCGUGGUGAGCAUGCGUCUAUUACACAGACAGAGACGGAAAAAAAAGAAAAAAAAUUCGUGUGCCGAGAGAGAGAGAGAGAGAAAGAAGCGGAUGAAGAGAAAGGGAGGGUUGAGAUGGGGGCGUGCUCACCACACAGCACCCAUCCGCUUCAUCCCCAAACUAGUAGCUUGGGACGAUGCCCAUACAAUUUUUGUUCAUUUUCAAGUGUGUCUUUUAAGAUAGGAAACAAUUAGCUGAUUGGGAUCAAACAUAAAAUUCAUUAAAUUUUGGAAAAAAGAAAUUAUAUAUGAUGGACUCGUCCAGAACUUUGAUCCAAUUGCACUUAGACACCCCGAGUUCAAUGAGUACAAAAAAAAGAGAAAAAAACUAUAUGAAGUUUCAAUUUAUUUCAAUCAUUCACCGAACUGUAAGUUUAAUUAAGUUUUCUUGAUAAAUUGAUCGUUAUAUAAAGAUCAUGUAGCCUGUUAAUUCAACUUAACAUUCAAAGGAAAAGGACGAACAUGAAUUUUAAGGGUCAAAUGAUUGCCAUAAGCAAUAACUAAUUAGUGAUGGGAUUCACAAAAUUUGAGGUUAGAUGGUUAAUUGCAACAAAUUAAAAGACCGUAUAACUCUCUUAGCGUUUAUAAAAUACAAGCGGUUAAGUAAUAAUUUAACCCAAAAAUAGGAGGAUCUGGCAUAAUUUGCUGAGAAAUUUUGAGUCUACUUAAUCAAAUAUCAUCAAAUAAUGAAAGACGAUAAAAUCCGAGUAAUAAGGCAUCUGAAUAUGAGCUUGAGUUGGAAGUGGAGGGAAAAUUGAUCUUUUAUCAGUUCUACAAUAUAGAAUCAAUCACCAGUACAAAAGGACAUUCCAUAAUAUUGAUAUAUAGAAAAACCAAUGUAAGAUUUUUUUUUUCUCUUUUUUUUUGAGUCUAAAAUCAAAUUAAAUUUGUGUUUCUAUUUUUCAUUUUAACAAAAGUAAUUUGCCUUUGGCCAAUUUGCAUAAAAAAUCCACUUAUUUUGGGCUUUUGCAAAAUCGGGCCACCUUUUUCAUUUUGCAGAUUCGGUCCGCUUUUUCAGCAAACUGACCAAAAUAUUCUUAUUACUUUUUCUCUUUCAUCUUUCUCUCUCUUCUUCGUUUCUCCCGUUCUUUUUUUUUUUCUCGCCGGUAGAGCGGAGGCGGAGCGGAGGCGGAGCGGAGGCAGAAAUGGUCCGUCUCGCCUCUCACCCUCAUACUCUCGCCCUCGCCCUUGCCUUCAUCUAUGCACCCCCCACCUUCCUCGCCUCCGACCCCGUUAAGGCCGUGCCGCGACUCUUUUUUUUUUGCUUUUUUCUUUUCUUUUCUUCUCCGACUCUUCUCCACCAUCUCCGACGACGACGCCUCUCGCCUUUCCCCGCCCUUCUCAUCUCUCCCACUCCCUCAUUUUCUGCCGCCUCCGACGACGAUUUAUCUUCGCCGGCGCCGACGUCGACACCGUAGAGGUGACUGCGGCGCUACAGCCUCGGAGCGGGGGGUCCUUAGCGGCGUCGUCACCGGCGCCGUUACCGGCGCCGUAGCUGUUGGUAGAGAAGGUGACAAAAAAAAUUAUAGAAAAAACAGAAAAAAAAUAAAGAUAAAAAAUUAUAUAAAAAGAAGGAUGAAGAUGAAAUUAUAUCGUUAAUUACAAAAAAAAUUAUAAGUUACACUAUUUAAGAUGUAAACUGCUGCUUUAAGAUAAAAAUUAUACUCUUUGAACGAAAAUUAUACUAUUUUUUAUCUUAAACUGCAUCCUUUUAAGUGAUAUUUAUACUGUUUCUCCUCUUGUUGCACUGUUUCUCCUCUUGUUGCACGUGAUUUCUUCUCCUCUUAUUUACACCAGAAAUGGUGCAACAAGAGGAGAAACAAUGCCAACAAGAGAGAAAACAGUUAUAAAUAUCUCUUAAAAUAGUCGCACGUUUCUCUUAUUGCAUUGUUUCUCCUCUUGUGCACUAUUUCUCUUAUUGGUUAUACAGAAAAUGUCAACACAAGAAAGAAACAGUGUAACAAGAAAAAAAAAGUGAUAUAUCUCUAAAACAGUGCAGUUCUCCUCUUGUUCAUCUAUUUCUCCUCUUGUUUACACCGAAAAGGUCAACAAGAGGGAGAAACAUAGUAUAUAUCUCUUAAAAAGAUGUAGUUCUUCCUUCUUCGCACUGUUUCUCCUCCUUGUUACUAUUUCUCCUCUUAUUUACACAGAAAUGGUGCAAACAAGAGAGUAAACAGUAUAAAUAUUCUUAAAAUAAUGCGAGUUUAAGAUAUAAAAAAAUAGGUGUAAACAAUAGGAAAAUGUGCAACCAGACGAGAAACAAGUGCAACUUUUGUUUAAAGGAGUGUAACGUCAUAUUAAUAUGCGUUUACAUCUGAAAAGGUAAUAAAGAAUAACAGUGUAAAUAUUUCCAAGAGUGUAAUUUUCGUCUUAGAAGAGUGUAUUUUCAUCUUAAAGCUGCAGUUUACAUCUACAAUAGUGCAAUUAUAAUUCUUUUGCAGGUUAACGAUACAAUUUGAUAUUCAUCAUUCAUGUUUGUAUAUACUUUUAUCUUUAUUUUUUUUUUCUGGUUUUUCUUAUUAAUUUUUUUUGUCACCUUCCUCUGCGCCAACAGACCACGGACCUGGACGACGACUGCAUUCUGCAAGAGCCCCCCGCUCCCGAGCCGUGUGUACGCGCAGUGACCUCACGUGUCGACCGCGCCGGCGAAAAUGCAUCGUCGUCGGAGCGGCAGAGAAUGCAGGAGAGGGAGAGAUGAGAAAGGGCGGGAAAGGACGAGAAGGACGAGAGAGGCAUCGUCGUCGGAGACGGUGGAGAGAGAGUCGUGUAGAAGAAAAAGAAAAAAAAAAGCGCAAAAAAAAAAAAAAUCGUGGCGCGGCCUUGGCGGGGUUGGAGGCGAGGAAGGUUGGGGGUGCGUGGACGAGGGCAAGGGCGAGGGCGAGGGCGAGGGCUAGAGAAUGAGGGUGAGAGGCGAGACGGACCGUUUCCGCCUCCGCUCUGCCGGCAAGAAAAAAAAAAGAACGAGAGAAACGAAGAGGAGAGAGAAAGAGGAAAGAGAAAAAGUAAAAAGUGUAUUUUGGUCAGUUUGCUGAAAAAGUGGACCGAAUCUGUAAAAACGAAAAAGGUGGCCCGAUUUUGCAAAAGCCCAAAAUAAGUGGAUUUUGUAUGCAAAUUGGCCUUUGCCUUUUCUGUAGGACUUUCGAAAAACAAAUAUAACGGUCCCAAGUUGGCCUCAUGCCCAACGGGCCGGAUGUGAUCUGAAAUGACCAGUCUAAUUUGGCCCUCAAUGGGCCCAGCCCGGUUUGUAUUGUUUUUCUGGAUUGAGCCUCAUGGGCCCAGCACUUCAAUCCAUUCAUUGCUUGGGCCCUGGAUCCAUAUUUUUUGGGCCCACCAUUGGCCCAUUGCUCGGAUCGGUUGCGAAGGGAAAUGCUAUCCCUAGCCCUCUAUAUAAGUAUAAAUCUUACAUCUUUUUCAUCUCACAAAAAUUCUUUUGCAUAUUUUGGUGUAAUCUUACUUCUUUUUCAUUUUAUGAUUCACAAAAUUCUUUUGGAUUUUUAGUAUUAAAAACUUAGUUGGAUAUAUAUAUAUAUUAUAUUAUAUAUAUAGUAUAUAACUAUAUAUAUAUAUUAUAUAUUAUAUAUAUAUACAAAUAGUAUAUACUACUACUUAGUCUAUAUAUAAAAAUUGAGCAAGAUAAAUACUCUCAAAUACCAGGUGAGGUGUCUGCCUUUUAGUUUUUGGCCUUGGAUGGAAGAAUAGAUUUUGCUCGCUAUGAUGUGGUUAGAUGUAGUUGUAGGUUGGUAGGUUCGGUACGUGGAUAUAUUUGAUCUAAAGGUUAUUAAUAAAUCAAGCGAGUCAGUAUCAACGGCUAGAUAAAUUAAAAGUCACCAACGACUGGUGCUGCGAUUCUAACAAUAUUCUAGCUCAAUUAUAUAUAUUAUAUAUUAUUAUAUAUAAACAUUGAGCUCUCUCAUGACCUUUAAAACGCUACAACGUUAUACUUGUUGCUUGUAGUUUUCUGGCCCUUUGAAUUAAGGAUGUUGCGCUUAGAAUUGAUGGCGCCCCUAGAGUUUGGUGGUAGCACGGUGGUGGUGGUUUACAUAGUUAGAUCUAAACGAUAAAAUGUAUCAAAGGCAGAAGUUAACUUCGUAAAAAAAUUACAAGCACCAAGUGCUUGUUGCUUUUACAACACCAUAUCCGACUCUAUAUAUAUAUAUAUAAUAGAAGAUGAGAGAGAAGAGCAGAGAGAAGAGAGAGAGAGAGAAGAGAGUAGGGCUACUGAUUCUAUAGACCAUCAGCAGUUCCUUGUUGCUCCUAGUUUAACCACCUUAUCAAAUUGAUGAGUGUUAGGUGAAAGGAGAAGAUAAUUGUUGAGAGAAAUUACGCAGACACGCUCGGCUCGCUCAUACCAAACGUUUUCAAUUUCUCUUCUCUUUAAUUUCUUCUCCAAUUUUUCUUCCUCUUUCAUCCUAACCAACCCAUGCAAAUUUCUAUAGGCGUUAAUUUUUAACUUAGGGAGCCCACAGGCUGCUGUCUCCUAAUGCUCCAUAGUUAGCCCUACUCCUCUUCUUCUCUCUCUUACUAUAUAUAUAUAUAUAUAUAUAUAUAUAUAUCAAUAUUGAAUUUUAUCAUUUUUCUCACACUCUCCUCUUUAUCUAUGAUGACAGCUAGACCUAUGCCGGCAGCAACAUCGAAGGCUAGACACUCAGUCGUAACAAAAAUAAGGUGUGUUGCACGUGUUGGGACGAAGGCGAGGAGAGAGAGAGAAAAAAAAGAUAAUUUUUUACAUAGACAAAUUAAUUUGUAAGAGCAAAAUAAUUAUUUUACGCGCUUACUGUUAAAAAAUUAAUGGUGAAUCAAAUAACAGAGACAUAUAUGAACGAAUCAAAAUUUUUGGAGAGAUAUAUUUACAACCCAAUUUUUUUUUGAAAGAAUAAAUCUGAUCAUUUAAAAUUUGUGAGAAUUUAUCUGUUAUUUGAUAUUUUUACGUGAACCUUUUUGAAAUUAACCUAACUUUUUAAAGUCGAUCUGUACAGUUCACUGCCGUGCCGAACGGAGCAAGAGUUGGACAAGAAGGACCUAACCCCUCAAUUAUAUGUGAAAGAAAAGUUGAGACAAAGUGCACAAUAAUUUAUCAAAGAAAAGGAUUGAACGUUAUUAUUGAAUAAAAGAACUACUUUGUAGUAGUGGGGAGGGAAAAAAAAAGGGGGGGUUUGGGGAGUGGGAUAAAAAUAAGGAAAAGGAAAAGGGGUGCUUUAGGUGCAUCCAACAAAGAUUGCACCACUAUUAUUUGCUCACAUUCAAGUGCUUGCUGACUGUGGUGAAAGCAUUCAAGUCCUUUCUUUCCUUUCCUGGAUUCUCAUCACCAAAGAACAAUCAAUCAGCUAGAUUCCUUUGUAUUAUUUUGGGUAAAAUGCACAUUUGGUUCUCAAAAUAUAAGACACAUGACACUUUGGUCCCUAAGUAUUUUAACAAGUUGUAAUUUUAUACUUGAAUUUUCAGAAUUAUUACAAUCAAGUCUUAAAAUUCAAUUUCAUUAACUAAAUACUGACAUAUGAAUCGCUAACAUAGAAAUAAUAUAAUAUUGUGAUUGAUAAUGCGCUAAUUUUUAAAAUGCCGUAUCACUUUUGUAUUAAUGAUUGUUACUAUUUUAUCAAUUAAAUUGGGUUGUAGGAUUUGAUUGUAAUAAUUUUUAAAGUUCAAGCUAGAAAUUAUACGAAACUGAAGUUUGAAUAUCAAAAUGU
rnacentral:lncRNA from 1 species